GGGAGGUAUAGAAGAAGAGGCUACGAUGAAAACUGUAGAGAAGGGUUAUGUUUAUGUUUAUAUCUCAAACCUCAAAGUCAAUGAAAAAACUCAUCGCAUCUCAUCGAUGAACGUUGGAUAUCCACCUGAUCGACUAAAGUGUUGGAGGAGGUAAAAGUGGUAUAGCAUACAGUGGAAUAACAUCGCUUGAUACACUUUAGCUGUGAUUGGGCACUUUAAAGUGUUAGGCCUGCAACAAUGCAAGUCAAGAGGAAUGAAAAAGAAAAACCAAUUUUUACUGCGGCUCCCUAGAACUCCGUCCUCAUAGCCCAAGCAUGCUGAUUCGCAAACUCAUUUGAAUAAACACAAGGUGUGGGGAAUUUAUGUUAAUUAGAAAGCAAUGUGGACUGUAUUAUAGUAAUUUUGAAUUGGAUACACUAACCUUUUGUUAUUAAACUGAUGCGUAGACUGGGGGCCCCCUUUGAUGAAUCCUGAAAUGCUAUAAUGUUGAUAAGUUCACUUUUUCACACUAUAUGAUGUUAAAAAACACUUCAAUUGUCUUUAUAAU